GACAACAUACGUUUAAAGCAAAGACACUGAAACUGCUUUAACGUUAAACACGUUGGGAAAAUCCACGCUAACAACAGGUCUACAGGUUGAGGCCAAUCGUGUGUACCAGCAUGACUCCGCCUCCCUUUUAUUUUUGGUGACACGCAGGUGGAACAGAAACAUACAAGGAAUGUGACAUUUCUUCGUUGAGAUCUCUUUGAGCUUGUAUGAAUGACUAGUUGUAUUAGCCUGCCGGUUUUAAAUAGGGCAGGAGCUCUAUAGAGAACAAUACUUGAAAGAGGAAGGAUAAGUUUAAAGAAAGAGGAACAUCUCACAGAUUGACAGCCAGUGUUGAAAAAGAGGGAAGCAGCAGAUUUAACAAAAACAAUCACAGAUGUCAUUAUACUGCCAAAUAAAACAGUGGAAAUGGGCAUUCUUAUCAUUGCUUUUGCCAACAAAUGAUUAGAUGUCUUUUACUCCACAGAAAAUAUUUGCAUUAUGUAGUGCCAUUUAUGUGAUGCCAUCAUCAUAAAUUAUCAUAAACUAUAAACUGUGCGAAUAUCUUGGUGCAAAAAUUGACUCAUGGCAACAAAGAAAGGGCCCUCAUAUACUAUUAAAACCCUUGGCAAGCAUGAUUAGGAUUUUAAGAUAGAGAAUCGGAGCCUGUCUGUAAUAGUCCACAGACCUGUCAAUCAUCUGAAUCCCCCAGGGCCCCUGACUCUUUGUUUACCCCUGCAAGGCGGCAGUAUGAAAAAGAGCAUGCAUGUAGUAUAUCUGCAUGUAGACUUGAGAGAAUAGACUGGACACUGAGUAUCUAAAUUUUGUGGUAUUCAAAGGGAACAUGCACAGUUGAUGAAAUGCCACUAGAAUUUGUUUCCAGAUACAUGUAAAGAAUUUAUUAUCACAUUUUGCUCAA